UUUCGCAAUGCCCGAAAGGGUGACGAAGCGACGCCGCGUGUGGGAAGAAGGCCUUCGGGUUGUAAACCACUGUCGGGAGUUAGGAGAUGCAGGUGCGUUAAUAGCGCACUUGCUUGACUAAGGCUCCAGAGGAAGCCACGGCUAACUCUGUGCCAGCAGCCGCGGUAAUACAGAGGCGGCAAGCGUUGUUCGGAAUUAUUGGGCGUAAAGAGCACGUAGGCGGCCUUGCAAGUCAGUUGUGAAAGCCUUCCGCUUAACGGAAGAACGGCAUCUGAUACUACAGGGCUUGAGUACGGGAGGGGAGAGUGGAACUUCUGGUGGAGCGGUGAAAUGCGUAGAUAUCAGAAGGAACGCCGGCGGCGAAAGCGACUCUCUGGUCCGAAACUGACGCUGAGUGUGCGAAAGCUAGGGGAGCAAACGGGAUUAGAUACCCCGGUAGUCCUAGCCGUAAACGAUGGGCACUAAGUAGAGGGGUUUU
rnacentral:rRNA from 1 species